UCUAAAACAAAAGACAUUUGCUUAUUUCAUCAUUCAAACACUAUCUUAUUGUAUUUCUACGCCAUAACCGGUUUUAUACGCAAUCUUAGUACGUAUUACCAUAGACAGUAGCGUAUUACUCGUAUGAGAAUUGGAAUUUACCCCAUGUUUCUUUCCGGCUUGAAAUGCUUCCGUCUGUACGAAUGAUUGGUUAAACUCUGCAGUCAAGUGAUUGUUUAUUGGUGGAGGAGACAUCCCUCAUGUUGAGCCAGCAUUCUGUGUUUUCAGUUUACGAGUGCGUUACAUCUAGAUGGAAACCUUUUACACAAGUACAUUUUUAUUACUGCUUUUCAAAAUACACGUAAUACAUUUAAAUGUUCUGUUUGAUAUGACGUAAGCUGUUCACAAUCACUUGCUAAAAUAACCCGACGAUAGUUGUAGGUUGCACCUAAAUAACUAACUAACCAACCUAUCUGUCGAUCAGAGUUGAAAACGGGUGAGCAUUCAUUAAUGAUGAAAAAAUUGCCUUUGUUUGUAGAAAGUUUGUAGAUUGAAUCCUAGAUUAAACACAACUUGGAAGUAUGGAUCACUAAUCAUUGUAAGCUACUUCAUUUGUAUAUUUAUCUAUUCAAUGUUAAUGUUGCUGUGUAGUAGUGAAGAUCUGAGCUAAUAACUUUUACUGUAGCCAUUUCCCUGAAUGAUCUUUGCUAUAGUGUGAGCAGUUUAUUGACUCUGUCCAAUAAUGACAGUGUGUAAUUUCAUGAAUUGACACGUAUUUAACGGUUUGGGGGAACAUUGUCAUUCAGAUAGAUGGAGGUGGGUCUUUAGAUGCUUGGUGACAGUAUUGUACAUAUUCUGUGUAUUCUGGCUUCAGCACAUUUACAUGUAAAAUGGUAUUAUCACUAUUAGGUUAUACAAAACAGAAUAACAGAAAACUCCCACUUCACAAUUUUUUUGAUGGUUUGUUCUACUUUAACCCUCUAUGGUAUGAAGUUGCCAUGACAACUGAAUGUCCCUACAAAACUCCUUUUCCCACUGUCAUUCUGACACAGAAGACACCUGUUGAAGUGCUUCAGAAAUUGCUCUAUUAGCCUAAUUUAAUAAACUAAACAUCUUUUCUCAAGGGGGAUUUUUUUGUAACAUCUUUGAAAAUGAAUACAGCAAUAUUUUUAUGGAAAGGCCAAUCAGACGAGUGCAGAGUUGGCCUGUCAUGGAGAAGAAAGACUGCAGGGGGAUCGUGCAUGAAGUGCAGCAAAUGUGACUUGCACCUUUGCAUCACAUUUGAAAGGAACUGCUUUUUGCAGUUUCACGGGAUGUCAUGAAAUGUCAUGAGUUGGAUUGAGACAGGUGCACAUGGAUGGACUGGGAAAACACACACUUUACUUCAGGGAGCUGCCUAUUGGUGUUUGAAUCGCAGGCAUAUCUACAGGCAGCUGCGUCCCAGCCGUCAGCAUGUCUGGCACUGCUACAGUCCUGCAGCAGUUUGUGAGUGGCCUUAAGAGUCGAAAUUAAGAUACACAGGCCAAAAGCUGCCAAAGACCUCCAGCAUUAUGUUACCACAGAACUAAGAGAGUGAGCUUGAUUGGUGUGGAAGGAGGAAAGGCCACCCGUAUCAGCCAUUUUGCCAACUACAUGCAGAACCUGAUUUCCACCAGUGACUGGUCAUGGAGAUGGCUUCUAUGACAAUCGGUCACCUGUCUAUGGCUGGAGACACCUUCACUGCAGAGUAUGUGGAGUUUGAGGUGAAGAGAGCUCUAGAAUGCCUGGGAGCAGACAGGAAUAAGGGCAGACGGCAUGCAGCGCAGGUGCAGCCAUUUUUUGACAACAUUUUCAAUGCUGUGUGGGACUCCAAACAGCCGAUCCGUGAGGGAGCAGUAUCUGCACUCAGAGCCGGUCUGAUCCUCACUACGAAAGAGAUGCAGAAACCACAGUGGUACAAGGAAAGAGGGGCAACCAUCUGCUUCCUGCGGUUCAGAAUCCGCCGCUGCUGAGGCAAGGAAGAGAAUGAGCUUGUGGAGAUCACAAGUGGAUCUGGCUGAGGAGUUUAGAGACUUUCCCUUUCGCGCUUGUUGGCGGUGGACGAGAGACAAUGAUGUUAUAUCUUUUAACACUUUCCGAUACAGAGGCUAGUGCUCUGCUGGGUUCGGCCCAGGAAGAGCAGAAGAUGUCCAGUGAUGGCGAAGAAGCUGAGGCUGAGCCUUCACAAUCCUCUUGCCCUGCAGUAUGUAGAGCUAUUGGAGGUUAUGGAUCGAGCCAGGGCAAAGUUGGCCAUGGAAGCGCGCUGGCAAGGUGAUGCCGUGAGGUCAUCUCGACGAGUGUUAUCUUUCCGACCAUAGCCCUCCAGCUCAGGUGAGUCUUCCAUUUCUGCCUGAUCUCCAUAAAGAGAUUGAAAAGGAAUAGAAGAGACCGUUUUCUUCCUGCAUCCAUUGAUUUUCAACAUACAAGUUAUGCCAACAUCGAAACGAUGCACGAAAGUGGCUAAGAGUGGAUGCCCCCUGUAGAAGAGACGCUAGCUAUCUCUCGUCUAGCUAUCUCUCUGUGGGGUAGACGUCCUCUCUUAAAUUUCCCUCCUUGCCAUCUAAGCCCCUUCAGGAUACAUCUUGCUUAAAUGGCAAGGCAUAUGCAGCAGCAUGCACAUGAUGGUGGUGCUUCAAGCGUAUCAGACUGACCUGCUGAAAGACCUGGAUAAAGGCGAGGGCCUUUCCCCUGAUCAGGUAGCUGUGCUGGGCCGCACCACAUCUCUCUCUCCAUGCUACAAAGCAGGCUCCCCCUGCCAUGGGCAGUUCUAUGGCACCCAUGGUGGUAAUGGAGAGACAUCUGUGGGUGAACCUGGCAGAUAUCAGGCAGAAAGAAAGGGGCUUUCUUCUCGAUGCUCUGUUUUCACCUUCCAAACUGGUCAGUACCUGCGUUGUGAGAAGGAGACUUGGUCAUCAGGCCCGGCAUGGCACUGCAAGGAAUUUCCUGGAUGUCCGGCCAGGUCACCCUGAGGUGCUUACUGGUCGCUUGGCUAUCCCUCCUUGCUGACGCUAUCCUAAACCUACUGCCCCGACUUGCUGCCUUCCAGACUCACACUUUUACUGGUACACUGACUUGUGAUUACAUUCCAGCCUUACUUCCAAAGCUGAUAUUUAACUAUUUCAGUUAUUAUAUAGAGCAUCACAGUCCCGCCCACAGCCCGAGAGAGCUCUGGUGCCGGAAGUAAAUUUCCCAUUCAUUUCUCCCAUUGAC